rnacentral:rRNA from 1 species
GAGUUUGAUCAUGGCUCAGGAUGAACGCUAGCGGCAGGCUUAACACAUGCAGUCGAGGGGCAGCAUUGGUACUUGUAUCAGAUGGCGACCGGCGCACGGGUGCGUAACGCGUAUAGAACCUACCUUAUAAUAAGGGAUAGCCCAGAGAAAUUUGGAUUAAUACCUUAUAGUAUCAUUAUGCGGCAUUGCAUUAUGAUUAAAGAUUUAUCGUUAUAAGAUGGCUAUGCGUUCUAUUAGCUAGUUGGUAUGGUAACGGCAUACCAAGGCUACGAUAGAUAGGGGUCCUGAGAGGGAGAUCCCCCACACUGGUACUGAGACACGGACCAGACUCCUACGGGAGGCAGCAGUGAGGAAUAUUGGACAAUGGAGGCAACUCUGAUCCAGCCAUGCCGCGUGUAGGAAGACUGCCCUAUGGGUUGUAAACUACUUUUAUAGAGGAAGAAACGACAUUACGUGUAAUGUUUUGACGGUACUCUACGAAUAAGGAUCGGCUAACUCCGUGCCAGCAGCCGCGGUAAUACGGAGGAUCCAAGCGUUAUCCGGAAUCAUUGGGUUUAAAGGGUCCGUAGGCGGUUUGGUAAGUCAGUGGUGAAAGUUUUCGGCUCAACCGGAAAAUUGCCAUUGAUACUGCUAGACUUGAAUUAUUGUGAAGUGGUUAGAAUGUGUAGUGUAGCGGUGAAAUGCAUAGAUAUUACACAGAAUACCGAUUGCGAAGGCAGAUCACUAACAAUAUAUUGACGCUAAGGGACGAAAGCGUGGGUAGCGAACAGGAUUAGAUACCCUGGUAGUCCACGCCGUAAACGAUGGUUACUAGCUGUUCGGACUUCGGUCUGAGUGGCUAAGCGAAAGUGAUAAGUAACCCACCUGGGGGAGUACGUUCGCAAGAAUGAAACUCAAAGGAAUUGACGGGGGG